rnacentral:rRNA from 1 species
UACGUAGGGAGCAAGCGUUGUCCGGAAUCAUUGGGCGUAAAGCGCGCGUAGGUGGCCUCGUAAGUCCGCUGUGAAAGUCAAAGGCUCAACCUUUGAAUGUCGAUGGAUACUGCCGGGCUAGAGUCCGGAAGAGGCGAGUGGAAUUCCUGGUGUAGCGGUGGAAUGCGCAGAUAUCAGGAGGAACACCGGUGGCGAAGGCGGUUCUCUGGCCCGGUUCUGACGCUGAGGCGCGAAAGCGUGGGGAGCAAACAGG